GGGAUUGCCCUAGUAACGGCGAGUGAAGCGGCAACAGCUCAAAUUUGAAAUCUGGCUUCGGCCCGAGUUGUAAUUUGUAGAGGAUGCUUUUGGUUAUGGUCCUUCUGAGUUCCCUGGAACGGGACGCCAUAGAGGGUGAGAGCCCCGUACAGUUGGACAUUAUGCCUUUGUAAAGCUCCUUCGACGAGUCGAGUAGUUUGGGAAUGCUGCUCAAAAUGGGAGGUAAAUUUCUUCUAAAGCUAAAUACCGGCCAGAGACCGAUAGCGCACAAGUAGAGUGAUCGAAAGAUGAAAAGUACUUUGAAAAGAGGGUUAAACAGCACGUGAAAUUGUUGAAAGGGAAGCGCUUAUGACCAGACUUGUGCCUUGUGAAUCAUCCAGCGUUUUCGCUGGUGCACUUCGCUUGGUUCAGGCCAGCAUCGGUUUCCUUAGGGCGAUAAAAGCAGUGGGAACGUGGCUCUUUCGGGAGUGUUAUAGCCCACUGCAGAAUAUCCUUAGGGGGACCGAGGACCGCGCUUCGGCAAGGAUGCUGGCGUAAUGGUCAUCAGCGACCCGUCUUGAAAACACGGA
rnacentral:rRNA from 1 species